UAGGGAAUCUUCCACAAUGGACGAAAGUCUGAUGGAGCAACGCCGCGUGAGUGAUGAAGGGUUUCGGCUCGUAAAACUCUGUUGUUGGAGAAGAACAGGUGAUAGAGUAACUGUUAUCAUCUUGACGGUAUCCAACCAGAAAGCCACGGCUAACUACGUGCCAGCAGCCGCGGUAAUACGUAGGUGGCAAGCGUUGUCCGGAUUUAUUGGGCGUAAAGCGAGCGCAGGCGGUUUUUUAGGUCUGAUGUGAAAGCCUUCGGCUUAACCGGAGAAGGGCAUCGGAAACCGGGAGACUUGAGUGCAGAAGAGGACAGUGGAACUCCAUGUGUAGCGGUGAAAUGCGUAGAUAUAUGGAAGAACACCAGUGGCGAAGGCGGCUGUCUGGUCUGUAACUGACGCUGAGGCUCGAAAGCAUGGGUAGCGAACAGGAUUAGAUACCCUGGUAGUCCAUGCCGUAAACGAUGAGUGCUAAGUGUUGGAGGG
rnacentral:rRNA from 1 species